GGUGAGAUGGCCGAGCGGUCUAAGGCGCCAGACUAAGGAGACCAGGACAGUUCCUGUCCCCCCGUAAUCUGGUCAUUCGUGGCGUGGGUUCGAAUCCCACUCUCAUCA